rnacentral:rRNA from 1 species
UACGUAGGGGGCGAGCGUUGUCCGGAGUUACUGGGCGUAAAGCGCUUGUAGGCGGUCCACCAAGUUUGGGGUGACAGUUGCCGACUUAAUCGACAAAGUGCCUCAAAGACUGGCGGACUUGAGGGCCACAGAGGGACAUGGAACUCCAGGUGUAGUGGUGAAAUGCGUAGAUAUCUGGAAGAACACCAAAGGCGAAGGCAGUGUCCUGGGUGGUCGCUGACGCUGAGAGGCGAAAGCCAGGGGAGCGAACGGG